rnacentral:rRNA from 1 species
UACGGGGGGGGCAAGCGUUGUUCGGAAUUACUGGGCGUAAAGGGCUUGUAGGUGGCCAACUAAGUCAGACGUGAAAUCCCACGGCUUAACCGGGGAACUGCGUCUGAUACUGGAUGGCUUGAGUGUGGGAGAGGGAUGCGGAAUUCCAGGUGUAGCGGUGAAAUGCGUAGAUAUCUGGAGGAACACCGGUGGCGAAGGCGGCAUCCUGGACCGGCAUUGACGCUGAGGCGCGAAAGCCAGGGGAGCAAACGGG